CCUACGGGAGGCAGCAGUGGGGAAUAUUGGACAAUGGGGGGAACCCUGAUCCAGCCAGGCCGCGGGUGUGAAGAAGGCCCUCGGGUGGUAAAGCACUUUCAGUGGGGAAGAACGCCUGGUGGUUAAUACCCAUCAGGAAGGACAUCACUCACAAAAAAACCCCCGGCUAACUCCGUGCCAGCAGCCGCGGUAAUACGGAGGGUGCGAGCGUUAAUCGGAAUUACUGGGCGUAAAGCGCGCGUAGGUGGCUUGAUAAGCCGGUUUGUGAAAGCCCCGGGCUCAACCUGGGAACGGCAUCCGGAACUGUCAAGCUAGAGUGCAGGAGAGGAAGGUAGAAUUCCCGGUGUAGCGGUGAAAUGCGUAGAGAUCGGGAGGAAUACCAGUGGCGAAGGCGGCCUUCUGGACUGACACUGACACUGAGGUGCGAAAGCGUGGGUAGCAAACAGGAUUAGAUACCCCAGUAGUC
rnacentral:rRNA from 1 species